rnacentral:rRNA from 1 species
GAGCGGACGGGGAGCAGCCCAGAGCCUGAAUCAGUGUGUGUGUUAGUGGAAGCGUCUGGAAAGGCGUGCGAUACAGGGUGACAGCCCCGUACACAAAAAUGCACAUAUUGUGAGCUUGAUGAGUAGGGCGGGACACGUGGUAUCCUGUCUGAAUAUGGGGGGACCAUCCUCCAAGGCUAAAUACUCCUGACUGACCGAUAGUGAACCAGUACCGUGAGGGAAAGGCGAAAAGAACCCCGGCGAGGGGAGUGAAAAAGAACCUGAAACCGUGUACGUACAAGCAGUGGGAGCACGCUUAGGCGUGUGACUGCGUACCUUUUGUAUAAUGGGUCAGCGACUUAUAUUCUGUAGCAAGGUUAACCGAAUAGGGGAGCCGAAGGGAAACCGAGUCUUAACUGGGCGUUAAGUUGCAGGGUAUAGACCCGAAACCCGGUGAUCUAGCCAUGGGCAGGUUGAAGGUUGGGUAACACUAACUGGAGGACCGAACCGACUAAUGUUGAAAAAUUAGCGGAUGACUUGUGGCUGGGGGUGAAAGGCCAAUCAAACCGGGAGAUAGCUGGUUCUCCCCGAAAGCUAUUUAGGUAGCGCCUCGUGAAUUCAUCUCCGGGGGUAGAGCACUGUUUCGGCAAGGGGGUCAUCCCGACUUACC